UACAGAGGUCCCGAGCGUUGUUCGGAUUCACUGGGCGUAAAGGGUGCGUAGGUGGUGAGGUAAGUCGGAUGUGAAAUCUCCAAGCUCAACUUGGAAAUGGCAUUGGAAACUACCUUGCUGGAGGUUUGGAGGGGGGACUGGAAUUCUCGGUGUAGCAGUGAAAUGCGUAGAUAUCAAGCGGAACACCAGUGGCGAAGGCGAGUCCCUGGACAACUCCUGACACUGAGGCACGAAAGCUAGGGGAGCAAACAGG
rnacentral:rRNA from 1 species